GACGAACGCUGGCGGCGUGCUUAACACAUGCAAGUGGAGCGACGAACCGGGGCUUGCCCCGGGGCAGAGCCGCGAACGGGUGAGUAACACGUGGGUUACCUACCCCAAUGACCGGGACAACCCGAGGAAACUCGGGCUAAUACCGGAUGUGGUCUUCGGACGAAAGGAGCUUCGGCCUCCGCAUUUGGGAUGGGCCCGCGGCGCAUUAGCUUGUUGGUGGGGUAACGCCUACCAAGGCGACGAUGCGUAGCUGGCUGAGAGGACGAUCAGCCACACUGGGACUGAGACACGGCCCAGACUCCUACGGGAGGCAGCAGUGGGGAAUCUUGCGCAAUGCGCGAAAGCGUGACGCAGCAACGCCGCGUGGGGGAAGAAGGCC
rnacentral:rRNA from 1 species